UGUGCAAAGGUAGCAUAAUCAAUUGGCUUGUAAUUUAAGUCUGGUAUGAAUGUAGUUUUAGGUUAAAGCUGUCUCUUUAUGUUAAUUGAAAUUUACUUGGCCGGUGAAAAAACCGGCAGUAAAAUAAUAGACGAGAAGACCCUAGAAAUUUUAUGAAAGGUAUAGUAAUAUAUAUAUUGGAUUUUGUUGGGGCGACAGAGUAACAGUUAACUUACUCUAUUUGAUGUGAAUUAAUUAUGAAAAUGUAAAUUACUCUAGGGAUAACAGCAUAAUUCUUUUAGUGUUUGUGACCUCGAUGUUGGACUAGGAAAGAUAAUAUUCAGAAGAUAUUAUUAUAGGCUCUGUUCGCGCC
rnacentral:rRNA from 1 species